rnacentral:rRNA from 1 species
UUCCGGUUGAUCCUGCCGGAGGUCACUGCUAUUGGGAUUCGACUAAGCCAUGCGAGUCGAGAGGGUUCGGCCCUCGGCUGACGGCUCAGUAACACGUGGAUAAUCUGCCCUAAGGUGGAGGAUAACCUCGGGAAACUGAGAAUAAUACUCCAUAGGUCUAGGAUGCUGGAAUGCACUUAGGCUUAAAACUUCGGUGCCUUAGGAUGAGUCUGCGGACUAUCAGGUUGUAGUCAGGGUAAAGACCUGACUAGCCUACGACGGAUACGGGUUGUGAGAGCAAUAACCCGGAGAUGAUAUCUGAGACACGAUAUCAGGCCCUACGGGGCGCAGCAGGCGCGAAAACUUCGCACUGCGCGAAAGCGCGACGAGGGAAUCCCAAGUGUAUGCACGUAAGUGUAUACUGUUUCUCUGUCUAAAAAGCAGAGAGAGUAAGAGCUGGGUAAGACGGGUGCCAGCCGCCGCGGUAAUACCUGCAGCUCUAGUGGUGAUCGUUAUUAUUGGGCCUAAAACGUCCGUAGCCGGUCUUCUAAAUGCCUGGGUAAAUCGUAUGGCUUAACCAUACGAAUUCUGGGUAGACUGUUAGACUUGAGACCGGGAGAGGCUAGAGGUACUCCUGGGGUAGAGGUGAAAUUCUGUAAUCCUAGGGGGACGACCAGUGGCGAAGGCGUCUAGCUAGAACGGGUCUGACGGUGAGGGACGAAGCCCUGGGGCGCAAACGGGAUUAGAUACCCCGGUAGUCCAGGGUGUAAACGCUGCUUGCUUGAUGUUAGUCUGGCUCCGAGCCAGAUUAGUGUCGGAGAGAAGUUGUUAAGCAAGCUGCCUGGGAAGUACGGCCGCAAGACUGAAACUUAAAGGAAUUGGCGGGGGAGCACAGCAACGGGUGGAGCGUGCGGUUUAAUUGGAUUCAACGCCGGG